AAUAUUGGACAAUGGGCGAAAGCCUGAUCCAGCCAUGCCGCGUGUGUGAAGAUGGUCUUCGGAUUGUAAAGCACUUUAAGUGGGGGGGAAGGGCAGUACGUUAAUACUUUGCUGGUUUUCCGUUACCGACAGAAUAAUCACCGGCUAACUUCGUGCCAGCAUCCGGGGUAAUACGAAGGGUGCAAGCGUUAAUCGGAAUUAAUGGGCGUAAAGCGCGCGUAGGUGGUUUGUUAAGCUGGAAGUGAAAGCCCCGAGCGAAACCUGGGAACUACUUUCAAAACUGGCAAGCUAGAGUAUGGCAGAGGGUGGUGGAAUUUCCUGUGUAGCGGUGAAAUGCGUAGAUAUAGGAAGGAACACCAGUGGCGAAGGCGACCACCUGGGCUCAUACUGACACUGAGGUGCGAAAGCGUGGGGAGCAAAC
rnacentral:rRNA from 1 species